rnacentral:rRNA from 1 species
UUGCUCCCGGAUGUUAGCGGCGGACGGGUGAGUAACACGUGGGUAACCUGCCUGUAAGACUGGGAUAACUCCGGGAAACCGGAGCUAAUACCGGAUAGUUCCUUGAACCGCAUGGUUCAAGGAUGAAAGACGGUUUCGGCUGUCACUUACAGAUGGACCCGCGGCGCAUUAGCUAGUUGGUGGGGUAAUGGCUCACCAAGGCGACGAUGCGUAGCCGACCUGAGAGGGUGAUCGGCCACACUGGGACUGAGACACGGCCCAGACUCCUACGGGAGGCAGCAGUAGGGAAUCUUCCGCAAUGGACGAAAGUCUGACGGAGCAACGCCGCGUGAGUGAUGAAGGUUUUCGGAUCGUAAAGCUCUGUUGUUAGGGAAGAACAAGUGCGAGAGUAACUGCUCGCACCUUGACGGUACCUAACCAGAAAGCCACGGCUAACUACGUGCCAGCAGCCGCGGUAAUACGUAGGUGGCAAGCGUUGUCCGGAAUUAUUGGGCGUAAAGGGCUCGCAGGCGGUUUCUUAAGUCUGAUGUGAAAGCCCCCGGCUCAACCGGGGAGGGUCAUUGGAAACUGGGAAACUUGAGUGCAGAAGAGGAGAGUGGAAUUCCACGUGUAGCGGUGAAAUGCGUAGAGAUGUGGAGGAACACCAGUGCGAAGGCGACUCUCUGGUCUGUAACUGACGCUGAGGAGCGAAAGCGUGGGGAGCGAACAGGAUUAGAUACCCUGGUAGUCCACGCCGUAAACGAUGAGUGCUAAGUGUUAGGGGGUUUCCGCCCCUUAGUGCUGCAGCUAACGCAUUAAGCACUCCGCCUGGGGAGUACGGUCGCAAGACUGAAACUCAAAGGAAUUGACGGGGGCCCGCACAAGCGGUGGAGCAUGUGGUUUAAUUCGAAGCAACGCGAAGAACCUUACCAGGUCUUGACAUCCUCUGACAACCCUAGAGAUAGGGCUUUCCCUUCGGGGACAGAGUGACAGGUGGUGCAUGGUUGUCGUCAGCUCGUGUCGUGAGAUGUUGGGUUAAGUCCCGCAACGAGCGCAACCCUUGAUCUUAGUUGCCAGCAUUCAGUUGGGCACUCUAAGGUGACUGCCGGUGACAAACCGGAGGAAGGUGGGGAUGACGUCAAAUCAUCAUGCCCCUUAUGACCUGGGCUACACACGUGCUACAAUGGACAGAACAAAGGGCUGCAAGACCGCAAGGUUUAGCCAAUCCCAUAAAUCUGUUCUCAGUUCGGAUCGCAGUCUGCAACUCGACUGCGUGAAGCUGGAAUCGCUAGUAAUCGCGGAUCAGCAUGCCGCGG